rnacentral:rRNA from 1 species
UACGUAGGGUGCAGGCGUUAAUCGGAAUUACUGGGCGUAAAGCGUGCGCAGGCGGUUUGCUAAGACAGGUGUGAAAUCCCCGGGCUUAACCUGGGAACUGCGCCUGUAACUGGCAAGCUAGAGUGUGGCAGAGGGGGGUGGAAUUCCACGUGUAGCAGUGAAAUGCGUAGAGAUGUGGAGGAACACCGAUGGCGAAGGCAGCCCCCUGGGCUAACACUGACGCUCAUGCACGAAAGCGUGGGGAGCAAACAGG